rnacentral:rRNA from 1 species
CGGCGUGCUUAACACAUGCAAGUCGAACGAUGCACUUUAUUUGAUUUCCUUCGGGAUUGAUUAUUUUGUGACUGAGUGGCGGACGGGUGAGUAACGCGUGGGUAACCUGCCUUGUACAGGGGGAUAACAGUUGGAAACGGCUGCUAAUACCGCAUAAGCGCACAGCAUCGCAUGAUGCAGUGUGAAAAACUCCGGUGGUAUAAGAUGGACCCGCGCUGGAUUAGCUAGUUGGUGAGGUAAUGGCCUACCAAGGCGACGAUCCAUAGCCGACCUGAGAGGGUGACCGGCCACAUUGGGACUGAGACACGGCCCAAACUCCUACGGGAGGCAGCAGUGGGGAAUAUUGCACAGUGGGCGAAAGCCUGAUGCAGCGACGCCGCGUGAGCGAAGAAGUAUUUCGGUAUGUAAAGCUCUAUCAGCAGGGAAGAUAAUGACGGUACCUGACUAAGAAGCACCGGCUAAAUACGUGCCAGCAGCCGCGGUAAUACGUAUGGUGCAAGCGUUAUCCGGAAUUAUUGGGCGUAAAGGGCUCGUAGGCGGUUCGUCGCGUCCGGUGUGAAAGUCCAUCGCUUAACGGUGGAUCCGCGCCGGGUACGGGCGGGCUUGAGUGCGGUAGGGGAGACUGGAAUUCCCGGUGUAACGGUGGAAUGUGUAGAUAUCGGGAAGAACACCAAUGGCGAAGGCAGGUCUCUGGGCCGUCACUGACGCUGAGGAGCGAAAGCGUGGGGAGCGAACAGGAUUAGAUACCCUGGUAGUCCACGCCGUAAACGGUGGAUGCUGGAUGUGGGGACCAUUCCACGGUCUCCGUGUCGGAGCCAACGCGUUAAGCAUCCCGCCUGGGGAGUACGGCCGCAAGGCUAAAACUCAAAGAAAUUGACGGGGGCCCGCACAAGCGGCGGAGCAUGCGGAUUAAUUCGAUGCAACGCGAAGAACCUUACCUGGGCUUGACAUGUUCCCGACAGCCCCAGAGAUGGGGCCUCCCUUCGGGGCGGGUUCACAGGUGGUGCAUGGUCGUCGUCAGCUCGUGUCGUGAGAUGUUGGGUUAAGUCCCGCAACGAGCGCAACCCCUAUUGUUAGUUGCCAUCAUUCAGUUGGGCACUCUAGCGAGACUGCCGGUAAUAAACCGGAGGAAGGUGGGGAUGACGUCAAAUCAUCAUGCCCCUUAUGACCUGGGCUACACACGUGCUACAAUGGCUGGUACAACGAGUCGCAAGUCGGUGACGGCAAGCUAAUCUCUUAAAGCCAGUCUCAGUUCGGAUUGUAGGCUGCAACUCGCCUACAUGAAGUCGGAAUCGCUAGUAAUCGCGGAUGAGCACGCCGCGGUGAAUACGUUCCCGGG